UAGUAGUAGUGGUGGUGUUAGUACUAGUAGUAGUGGUGGUGUUAGUACUAGUAGGUAGUGGUGGUGUUAGUACUAGUAGGUAGUGGUGGUGUUAGUACUAGUAGGUAGUGGUGGUGUUAGUACUAGUAGGUAGUGGUGGUGUUAGUACUAGUAGGUAGUGGUGGUGUUAGUACUAGUAGGUAGUGGUGGUGUUAGUGCUAGUAGGUAGUGGUGGUGUUAGUGCUAGUAGGUAGUGGUGGUGUUAGUGCUAGUAGGUAGUGGUGGUGUUAGUGCUAGUAGGUAGUGGUGGUGUUAGUGCUAGUAGGUAGUGGUGGUGUUAGUGCUAGUAGGUAGUGGUGGUGUUAGUACUAGUAGGUAGUGGUGGUGUUAGUACUAGUAGGUAGUGGUGGUGUUAGUACUAGUAGGUAGUGGUGGUGUUAGUACUAGUAGGUAGUGGUGGUGUUAGUACUAGUAGGUAGUGGUGGUGUUAGUACUAGUAGGUAGUGGUGGUGUUAGUACUAGUAGGUAGUGGUGGUGUUAGUACUAGUAGGUAGUGGUGGUGUUAGUACUAGUAGGUAGUGGUGGUGUUAGUACUAGUAGUAGUGGUGGUGUUAGUACUAGUAGGUAGUGGUGGUGUUAGUACUAGUAGGUAGUGGUGGUGUUAGUGCUAGUAGGUAGUGGUGGUGUUAGUGCUAGUAGGUAGUGGUGGUGUUAGUGCUAGUAGGUAGUGGUGGUGUUAGUGCUAGUAGGUAGUGGUGGUGUUAGUGCUAGUAGGUAGUGGUGGUGUUAGUACUAGUAGGUAGUGGUGGUGUUAGUACUAGUAGGUAGUGGUGGUGUUAGUACUAGUAGGUAGUGGUGGUGUUAGUGCUAGUAGGUAGUGGUGGUGUUAGUGCUAGUAGGUAGUGGUGGUGUUAGUGCUA